ACGUAGGGUGCAAGCGUUGUCCGGAUUUAUUGGGCGUAAAGAGCUCGUAGGCGGUUUGGCAAGUCGGGUGUGAAACCUCCAGGCUCAACCUGGAGACGCCACUCGAUACUGCUAUGACUUGAGUCUGGUAGGGGAUCACGGAAUUCCUGGUGUAGCGGUGAAAUGCAUAGAUAUCAGGAGGAACACCGGUGGCGAAGGCGGUGAUCUGGGCCAGUACUGACGCUGAGGAGCGAAAGCGUGGGGAGCGAACAGGA
rnacentral:rRNA from 1 species